rnacentral:lncRNA from 1 species
CCCAGCACUAGGGCAUGGAGGCUGGAGAACUGCUGGGAGUUCCCGGUCAGCCUGGGAUACAGGACAGACCCUGUCUCUCACGACCAAAAAAGAGCUGCGGAUAAAAGGGACAAAGUCCCACCUUCCUAUCCUUUGAUAAGGGCACUAAUCCCAGCCAUGAGGGGUAGCACCCUCAUGAACUAAUUACCUCCCAAAGCCCCACUUCUUAAUACCAUCCUCUUGGGGACCAAGUCCCAAAGUGAAUUUAGCAAGGACCCCAACACUCAGGGCAAAGCAAGGAGUAGGAGACGGCAGGCCCCGCCCCGGGUUCUCCGGACGCGGAAAGGACUGCAAAGUGACCCUGCGCAUCCCUGCAGCCCAGCACGGCGGGGACACAGUCCGGGGCACAUUUCACUUAAUGACUUACUAAGGGAUCGAAUUUGCACGUUCUAGGCAGGUUGGCGGAACCACUGAGCUAAUUCCCCGGCCCUGGAUCUCAUUUUAAAUAAACACUAUUUUAAACAUUAUCUCUGUAUGGUUGUCACAUGGUGGUGAGGAUGGUUUUUACACCCUUGUUUCAGCGGUGCCUAUGGAAACACCCCCCUCCGGGGAUGGUCUGGUCUACAGUUUGCUCUGCGUCCCCC